AUCCCUGAAACAAUAAGUUCAUCAAACUAUGACACCUACAAAUACAUUGCUAACAAUACUAAAUGUGAAUUUAUCAAAUUAUUUUUUUCUUCGAGAGAAAAAUGAAGAUACACAUAUAUAAAACAUUCGUAGGCCGAUAGAAAAGUCAGAUAAAUUUUCGGGGUUCUUUGACAGUCUUUAUAUUUACAGGAACUUAAAUGGCUAGAUUUUUUUUAUCUUUCACUACAUUAUAAUGUGUUGUACAUAGUACAAAGGCACUAAAAAAACGGCUCCAAUAUCAAUACUUACGUUUUACGAAGUUCUUAGUACCACAGGAGCACAAAAUCGAGGAGCAGUGACUGGUUUCUUCAGAAGUUUCUUCAGAAAGACCGGGAAAGGGACCGCUGGUCUUUUAUGUUACAAAUUUUGAUGUAAUCUGUUGCCACCCGCCUGAUUGGCUAACUAUGAUUGUUGUUUUUCCCAAUUGUACUGCCUUGUUUUGAUUUUGUCCCUUUAAGGCGGUUUUUGCUGGUGAUCAGACCCGAUUCUUGUCUAAUUUGAAUUAUGAAAUUAUCAGUACUAUUUUAUAAGUCUCAAACUUACAAUUUAAAACGUAUAAAAUUACUGGUCUUUUUUUUAUUUUUUAUGUAGUUAAUGUAGUUAUGUAGUUUCUUUUAAAGUUCGACUCCUAAAGCCCUGCAUGUAUUUUUUAGAUGAGCUUUUAUUUUGAAAGUGGCGAUCUCUUUUCCUGGUGUCAUGGGGAAGCACGCCCGACAGAUCCACGUUACUGCUUGUCCCCGGGACAGAGUGCGGGAAAUCAAUGCGGUUCAAAUACGUUCAUGGAUGCAGGAGUGCUAAUUCCCUCCAGAUUUCGCCCGAAGGCGCAGGUUUCAAGGCUGCACACGGUGACUGAGCAUCCUAACAUUUCAAAAUUCAAAGGUUCAAGCUUCAAGGUUUUACUUCAAAAAGAUGUUUUUGCUGAAUUGAUCAAGACUGACUGUAAGAGUGUAAACAUCGAGUAACUAUGAUGUUCGAGCCCUCUCAAGAACAGUACAUUUUUCAGAACUGAAGCUGCAGGUUGUAUCUUCACACCUGCACCGAGACAGAGCAACAGUGGGACAAAUCCAAACAGCAGGUUUGGAACCAGGGCCAGUUCCAUGGAUAAUGAACUCAAAGACAUUUUUGAAUAAUGAUGCAGUAGUACGCUGUACAAGAACUUGGCUGGUGACCCACUUUACAUCUCCUUGCUAAACACUGGAGAAUCAUGCAAAGACAUUCAUGUAACAAAUUGACCUCUUACCGCAACCAUGGCCUUGAGUGACAAGAAGACCAGUCUUAAGGCAGCAUUGGUGAGUGUGUUCUCUAACCAGGAGCCCAGAUUACCCACAAAAUCUAUAAACAUUUACCAAGAUCCUCCUCUUUACCUGCCACUGCCACUCAGUUAGUACAGGCUGGAUCCCACACAGAGUGUGCAUGUCUACAGUGAGGAGGAACUCUUCAACCUUGAAAGUUUAUUGGUCACAGAGGACAUGGUACAUAAGAUUGAGACAGCAAAAGGAGAACAGACAGCUGACCAGGAAUGGCAUCAGCUCAACAACGCAAGGAUCACAUCUUCAUCUUGUUAUGUGAGGUGUGAAAUUGUACAGAGAAUGCUCUAUUUUGAGACAUAUGUCAGAAUACUGGAGAACAAGGAGAACAAAAUAUUUGACACCAUUAUUGUGCCCACUCUAUCAGAUGAGCUAUCUGAUCUCCAAGUGAACUGAUUUGUACUGUGAAAACAUUUUAUGCUAGUAUUCUGACGUGGGCGUCAGAAUACUUUCAAAACACAUUGGCAUAAUGGUUCCAGUCAUCUCAUGAGAGAGCCAUAUCCCAAAUGGAUCAAUUUCAUGAUGUUCUGCCAAUUUUUCACAGUUCAGCAACAGGUAGUUGAGGUAACUUCAGCUUGUUUAGCUUUUAUUCAGUGUUUGUGUUAUAAAUGUCAU
ensembl:lncRNA